rnacentral:rRNA from 1 species
GGAUUAAGCCAUGCAUGUCCAAGUACAUACUUUCACAUGGUGAAACUGCGAAUGGCUCAUUAAAUCAGUUAUGGUUCCUUAGAUCGUACAAUCCUACUUGGAUAACUGUGGCAAUUCUAGAGCUAAUACAUGGAACACAGCUCCGACCUCCGUGGGAAGAGCGCUUUUAUUAGUCCAAAACCAAUCCGGCAGCGAUGCCGGUUCCGCUGGUGAAUCUGAAUAACUUUGUGCCGAUCGCAUGGCCUCGAGCCGGCGACGUAUCUUUCAAAUGUCUGCCCUAUCAACUUUCGAUGGUACGUGAGAUGCCUACCAUGGUUGUAACGGGUAACGGGGAAUCGGGGUUCGAUUCCGGAGAGGGAGCAUGAGAAACGGCUACCACAUCCAAGGAAGGCAGCAGGCGCGCAAAUUACCCACUCCCGACACGGGGAGGUAGUGACGAAAAAUAACAAUACGGGACUCAUUCGAGGCCCCGUAAUUGGAAUGAGUACACUUUAAACCCUUUAACGAGGAUCAAUUGGAGGGCAAGUCUGGUGCCAGCAGCCGCGGUAAUUCCAGCUCCAAUAGCGUAUAUUAAAGUUGUUGCAGUUAAAAAGCUCGUAGUUGGAUCUCGGGUCCAGGCUGGCGGUCUGCCUCGCGGUGGUCACUGCCUGUCCUGACCUACCUCCUGGUUUUCUCCUGAUGCUCUUGACUGAGUGUCUCGAGUGGCCAGAACGUUUACUUUGAAAAAAUUAGAGUGUUCAAAGCAGGCGUGUAGCCUGGAUAAUGGUGCAUGGAAUAAUGGAAUAGGACCCCGGUUCUAU